GCUUGUCUCAAAGAUUAAGCCAUGCAUGUCUCAGUAUAAGUUCCUGUACGGCGAAACUGCGAAUGGCUCAUUAAAACAGUUACAGUUUAUUUGAUGGUCGUUCCUUACAUGGAUAACUGUGGUAAUUCUAGAGCUAAUACAUGCACCCGUGCCCGACUUUGUGGAAGGGGUGUACUUAUUAGAUGGAAACCAAUGCGGGGCAACCCGGAUUCUGGUGAUUCAUAAUAAUUAUCGGAUCGAUCGUAUGAUCGAUGCAUCAUUCAAGUUUCUGCCCUAUCAGCUUUGGAUGGUAGGGUAUUGGCCUACCAUGGCAUUAACGGGUAACGGAGAAUUAGGGUUCGAUUCCGGAGAGGGAGCCUGAGAAAUGGCUACCACAUCCAAGGAAGGCAGCAGG
rnacentral:rRNA from 1 species